rnacentral:tRNA from 5 species
GCCCGGCUAGCUCAAUUGGCAGAGCGUGUGACUUUUAAUCACAAGGUUCGGGGUUCGACCCCCCGGUCGGGCA